AGUGAACGCUGGCGGUAGGCCUAACACAUGCAAGUCGAACGGCAGCACAGUAAGAGCUUGCUCUUACGGGUGGCGAGUGGCGGACGGGUGAGGAAUACAUCGGAAUCUACUUUUUCGUGGGGGAUAACGUAGGGAAACUUACGCUAAUACCGCAUACGACCUACGGGUGAAAGCAGGGGAUCUUCGGACCUUGCGCGAUUGAAUGAGCCGAUGUCGGAUUAGCUAGUUGGCGGGGUAAAGGCCCACCAAGGCGACGAUCCGUAGCUGGUCUGAGAGGAUGAUCAGCGGCACUGGAACUGAGACACGGUCCAGACUCCUACGGGAGGCAGCAGUGGGGAAUAUUGGACAAUGGGCGCAAGCCUGAUCCAGCCAUACCGCGUGGGUGAAGAAGGCCUUCGGGUUGUAAAGCCCUUUUGUUGGGAAAGAAAAGCAGCAGGUUAAUACCCCGCUGUUCUGACGGUACCCAAAGAAUAAGCACCGGCUAACUUCGUG
rnacentral:rRNA from 1 species